rnacentral:rRNA from 1 species
ACGCUGGCGGCGUGCCUAAUACAUGCAAGUAGAACGCUGAAGGAGGAGCUUGCUUCUCCGGAUGAGUUGCGAACGGGUGAGUAACGCGUAGGUAACCUGCCUGGUAGCGGGGGAUAACUAUUGGAAACGAUAGCUAAUACCGCAUAAUAGUAGAUGUUGCAUGACAUUUGCUUAAAAGGUGCAAUUGCAUCACUACCAGAUGGACCUGCGUUGUAUUAGCUAGUUGGUGGGGUAACGGCUCACCAAGGCGACGAUACAUAGCCGACCUGAGAGGGUGAUCGGCCACACUGGGACUGAGGCACGGCCCAGACUCCUACGGGAGGCAGCAGUAGGGAAUCUUCGGCAAUGGACGGAAGUCUGACCGAGCAACGCCGCGUGAGUGAAGAAGGUUUUCGGAUCGUAAAGCUCUGUUGUAAGAGAAGAACGAGUGUGAGAGUGGAAAGUUCACACUGUGACGGUAUCUUACCAGAAAGGGACGGCUAACUACGUGCCAGCAGCCGCGGUAAUACGUAGGUCCCGAGCGUUGUCCGGAUUUAUUGGGCGUAAAGCGAGCGCAGGCGGUUAGAUAAGUCUGAAGUUAAAGGCUGUGGCUUAACCAUAGUACGCUUUGGAAACUGUUUAACUUGAGUGCAAGAGGGGAGAGUGGAAUUCCAUGUGUAGCGGUGAAAUGCGUAGAUAUAUGGAGGAACACCGGUGGCGAAAGCGGCUCUCUGGCUUGUAACUGACGCUGAGGCUCGAAAGCGUGGGGAGCAAACAGGAUUAGAUACCCUGGUAGUCCACGCCGUAAACGAUGAGUGCUAGGUGUUAGACCCUUUCCGGGGUUUAGUGCCGCAGCUAACGCAUUAAGCACUCCGCCUGGGGAGUACGACCGCAAGGUUGAAACUCAAAGGAAUUGACGGGGGCCCGCACAAGCGGU